UACGUAGGGUGCAAGCGUUAAUCGGAAUUACUGGGCGUAAAGCGUGCGCAGGCGGCUUUGCAAGACAGAUGUGAAAUCCCCGAGCUUAACCUGGGAACUGCAUUUGUGACUGCAAGGCUGGAGUGCGGCAGAGGGGGAUGGAAUUCCGCGUGUAGCAGUGAAAUGCGUAGAUAUGCGGAGGAACACCGAUGGCGAAGGCAAUCCCCUGGGCCUGCACUGACGCUCAUGCCCGAAAGCGUGGGGAGCAAACAGG
rnacentral:rRNA from 1 species